UGGGGAAUAUUGCACAAUGGGCGCAAGCCUGAUGCAGCCAUGCCGCGUGUAUGAAGAAGGCCUUCGGGUUGUAAAGUACUUUCAGUCGGGAGGAAGGUGGUAAGGUUAAUAACCUUAUCAAUUGACGUUACCGACAGAAGAAGCACCGGCUAACUCCGUGCCAGCAGCCGCGGUAAUACGGAGGGUGCAAGCGUUAAUCGGAAUUACUGGGCGUAAAGCGCACGCAGGCGGUCUGUCAAGUCGGAUGUGAAAUCCCCGGGCUCAACCUGGGAACUGCAUUCGAAACUGGCAGGCUGGAGGCUUGUAGAGGGGGGUAGAAUUCCAGGUGUAGCGGUGAAAUGCGUAGAGAUCUGGAGGAAUACCGGUGGCGAAGGCGGCCCCCUGGACAAAGACUGACGCUCAGGUGCGAAAGCGUGGGGAGCAAACAGG
rnacentral:rRNA from 1 species